rnacentral:lncRNA from 1 species
CUCCAUUCUGCUUCACUUGGAGAGUUUACAGCUGCCCUUUCCUGACACCUGGAAGUAUGGGAUUUUGGCAUUAGCCAUCCUCCUGGGUUUGGUGGCUCUAAUCAUUUUAACCUGCCAAAUGCGCCAGUGCCAGAAACUAAGAAAACUUGGGAGAAAGAAGAAAUACCUUAGUGAAGCCUGUAAGGACACAAAGGUGGAGAAUGGCAUCCUGGGGGAUAAACUGCGACCAGCUCUCCUUGACAUUGCUAAGCAAAGCCUUCCUGAUGUCAAGAUCCAGAAGAUUCAGGAGGAACUGGACAAGCUGGGUACCUGCCUUUCCCCCUCCUGUACCAGCAGCAAGAACCUGGAGAGUGUGGGCAGCAACGCAGACUUCCUGGAGAGCUCCCGGGGCAGGCUGAGAUUCUCCCUCUUCUACCACAGGGAGCGACUUGAGCUGCUCUUGACGGUCAUUGCAGUGACAGGCCUACCUAGCCGAGGCAGCGCUGACUCUGCUGUUCGAGUCCGGCUGCUGAAGCAGGUCCCAUCUCACAUCUCUGGCCUUCAGUGCAUGGUCUGUGAGUGGCAAACACAGGUGGUGAAGAACUGCAGGAAACCUGCCUUUGGGGACCAGUUUGUCUGCUCCUUGCAGGAGGCCGAGCUGGAGAAGAGCACUGUGAAGUUGGAGGUUAAACAUUACAACAAGUAUUCCAGACACACCAUGCUGGGGGAAGUGAGGGUCACCCUCAGCAAACUAAAGGCCUCCCAAUGUAUGGAGUUCUGCGAGGAGCUACAGAAGACUACAAAGGUAAUGGUUCUCAUGUCACCUCUCACAAUGUAACUGCAUCAUGAUUGCACUGAAUGGAUGUCUCCAGGGAGAGGGAUAAAGAGCCUUUGACUUUUUUCAGGCAGUAACCAGCAGUCCCUGCUUUCCAUCAGCAUGGGACAGACCAUGGAAAAUGAGUGAGUGGCCUCAUUAUAGACUUACUUUGUGCUCCACAUGCUUGCCAGGUAGGAUCUGCAGAGAGGCAGUGCCAUUUGGGAGCAUGGAGUCUAGACUGUUCUCCCAGGGUAUGUCUACAGCGCAGUUAAACACCCCUGGCUGGCCC